UGUCCCCAGGACUGAACAAACAGUUUUGUGUGUUCCUUGACGCUGGAGAGGCUGUGAUUGGAUACAGGGAUGUGCUUCAGCCGAAGAACCCUCAAAGGACCCGGUGUUCUCACUAGAUCCUGGGAGCAGCUUUUCAGCCUCCCCACAGCUCGGCUCAGCCAGGAAGUGAAGCCUGCACCAGGACAAUGAGAUGCACACACGGGGACCUGGGAGAGCGGCUGAUCCAAAUCUACUCUGAAGACUUUCGAUUUCAGUGGAAAUAAUGAGUGGGGAUGACUAAUGAAGACUUCGCCCUUCCCACGAGGCGGGUGGAGCUCAGGCUGAGGGUUUCUCUGGUCCUGGGAAGUCAGGCGGUGGGGUUUCUACCCAAUAACUUCUGAGAGUCCAAAGAGUCAGGACCUGGCCAGCUCAGUGAGACCUCGAAGGCCGUUCCCAGAAGAUGAUCCAGAAUUCAAGGGAUGACUUGGGGAUGAGUGUGUACAGCAAGGGGGAUUAAGCUGAUGAAAGAUUCA